rfam:Oryza glumipatula chromosome 2, whole genome shotgun sequence.
UGACCGUUCGUCUUUUACUAUUCAUCUUCAACAUUUGACUGUUCGUCUUUUGUGAAAAAAAUUUUAUGAUUACUAUUUUUAUUGUUAUUAGAUGAUAAAAUAUGAAUAGUACUUUAUGUGUGACUAUUUUUUAAAAAAAUUCAUAAAUUUUUCAAAUAAGACAGAUGGUCAAACGUUGGACACGAAUUUCCACGGCUGCACUUAUU